rnacentral:lncRNA from 1 species
UGGGGUUCUGAGGCUCCUUGGGGUGCUGGGUUUGAGGUCCCAUUUUUGGGGUACCAUUGUUUGGGGUGCCAGUAUUGGGGGUGCUGGGUUGGGGGCCCGUUUUUGGGGUGCUGCUGUUGGGAGUCCCGUUUUUAGGGUCUUGGUUUUGGGGUAACGGUAUGGGGAUCCUGGUUUUGGGGGUGCUAUUUUGGGGUCCCAUUUUGGAGUCCCAGUUUGGGGAUCCCGUUUUUGGGUCCCAUUUAGGGGAUGCCAUUUUGGUGUCCUGUUUUUGUGGUCCCAUUUUUGGGUCCUGUUUUUGGAUUUCCUAUUUGAGGUCCUGUUUUUGGGGAUCCCUGUUUGGUGUCCUGUGUUUUUUGUGUCCCAAUUUGGGGUCCCGUUUUUGCGGAUCCCAUUUUGGGGUUCCCAUGUUUUUUGUGUCCUGAUUUGGGGUCCUGUUUUUAGGGAUUCCUGUUUGGUGUCCUGUGUUUUUGGGGUCCCAUUUUUUGGGAUUCCUGUUUGGUGUCCCAAUUUGGGGUCCCGUUUUUUGGGAUUCCUGUUUGGUGUCCCAGUUUGGGGUCGUGUAUUUUUGGAUCCCUGUUUGGUGUCCCAAUUUGGGGUCCUGUUCUUGGGGAUCCCAUUUUGCUGUCCCGUGUUUUUUGUGUCCCAAUCUGGGAUCCCAUUUUUGGGGAUCUCUGUUUGGUGUCACAAUUUGGGAUCCCAUUUUUGGGGCUCCCAUUUUGAUGUCCCAAAUUGGGGUCCCGUUUUUGGGGAUCCCUGUUUGGUGUCCCGUAUUUUUUGUGUCCCAAUUUGGGGUCCCAUUUUUGCACAUCCCAUUUUGGGGAUCCCAUUUUGGUGUCCCGUGUUUUUUGUGUCCCAAUCUGGGAUCCCAUUUUUGGGGCUCCCAUUUUGGUGUCCCAAAUUGGGGUCCCGUUUUUGGGGAUCUCUGUUUGGUGUCCUGUGUUUUUGGUGUCCCAUUUUGGGAUCCCAUUUUUGGGGAUCUCUGUUUGGUGUCCCAAUUUGGGGUCCCAUUUUUGGGGAUCUCUGUUUGGUGUCCUGUGUUUUUUGUGUCCCGUUUUUGGGGCUCCCAUUUCGGUGUCCCACGUUUUUGGUGUCCCAAUCCGU